GGUUGCCUACGGGAGGCAGCAGUGGGGAAUAUUGCACAAUGGGGGAAACCCUGAUGCAGCGACGCCGCGUAAGUGAAGAAGUAAUUCGUUAUGUAAAGCUCUAUCAGCAGGGAAGAAAAUGACGGUACCUGAGUAAGAAGCCCCGGCUAACUACGUGCCAGCAGCCGCGGUAAUACGUAGGUGGCAAGCGUUAUCCGGAAUUACUGGGUGUAAAGGGUGUGUAGGCGGGGCUGCAAGUCAGAUGUGAAAAUUAUGGGCUCAACCCAUAACCUGCGUCUGAAACUG
rnacentral:rRNA from 1 species